GGAAGUUUAGCUCAGCUGGUUAGAGCGCCUGCCUUACAAGCAGGAGGUCCCGGGUUCGAGUCCCGUAACUUCCA
rnacentral:tRNA from 1 species